rnacentral:tRNA from 1 species
ACUAUUUUGACAGAAAAAUGUAAUGAUUUUAGAAGUCAGGAAUAUAUAAUUUAAUUAUAUAGAUAGUA